GUUUUUUCCCACGACUUUCACCUGCUGGGAUCCGGCUGAAGAGCGGAGGAAGAGAAGUACAAGCAUGGGAAAUAGAAGGGCACGAACAUGAGGACACCAGGCAUCGUGCCGUGAGGGUACUCAACCAUGCCCUGAAGAGGCCCACAUGCAGAGCACCUGAGCCCUCCUCCUUCCGCACUCCCUGCUCCCCCAACAGCCAGCACCCCCGGGGCCAUCCACACGAGUAAGCCGCCCCGCAAGGGAUUCUUCAGGUCCAGCCUUUGGAUAACUGCUGCCUCUUGGGACCCAGCGCCAGAAUUAUCCAGCCAAGCCGUUCAGAUCUGAACCAGGAAGUCUUCAGCUGAUGUAAUCUUGCCCUGGAGUGUCCCGGCAUCACAGGACAAUUGAGGCCUCAAGUGUGACCAGAGGUACAUAGAGUUAUGUUUCCGCAUACCAUAGCUGGCUUGCACGGCAAGAUGCUAGGCCUCAGAUGAGCCCUAAUCACAAUUUGAUUAGGAAAUGAUUUUUCCCCAAAAAUUAU